rnacentral:rRNA from 1 species
CAAGGAAUUUUCCGCAAUGGGCGCAAGCCUGACGGAGCAACGCCGCGUGCGGGAGGACGCCCUUCGGGGUGUAAACCGCUUUUCUUGGGGACGACUUUCCGACGGUACCCGAGGAAGAAGGCCCGGCUAACUACGUGCCAGCAGCCGCGGUAAUACGUAGGGGCCGAGCGUUGUCCGGAGUUACUGGGCGUAAAGCGCGCGCAGGCGGCCGCGCAGGCCCGGCGUGAAAGCCCCCGGCUCAACCGGGGAGGGUCGCCGGGGACGGCGCGGCUUGAGGGCGGCAGGGGCCGGUGGAAUUCCCGGUGUAGUGGUGAAAUGCGUAGAGAUCGGGAGGAACACCCGUGGCGAAGGCGGCCGGCUGGGCCGACCCUGACGCUGAGGCGCGAAGGCGUGGGGAGCGAACGG